UACCCACUGAGAUUUCCACGCCGAAGGAC
rnacentral:piRNA from 1 species